CUUCUCUGAGCUGACUGCCUUC
rnacentral:piRNA from 1 species